rnacentral:rRNA from 1 species
UCCUCCGCAAUGGGCGAAAGCCUGAUCCAGCCAUGCCGCGUGUGUGAAGAAGGUCUUCGGAUUGUAAAGCACUUUAAGUUGGGAGGAAGGGCAGUAAACUAAUACUUUGCUGUUUUGACGUUACCGACAGAAUAAGCACCGGCUAACUCUGUGCCAGCAGCCGCGGUAAUACAGAGGGUGCAAGCGUUAAUCGGAAUUACUGGGCGUAAAGCGCGCGUAGGUGGUUUGUUAAGUUGGAUGUGAAAGCCCCGGGCUCAACCUGGGAACUGCAUUCAAAACUGACAAGCUAGAGUAUGGUAGAGGGUGGUGGAAUUUCCUGUGUGGCGGUGAAAUGCGUAGAUAUAGGAAGGAACACCAGUGGCGAAGGCGACCACCUGGACUGAUACUGACACUGAGGUGCGAAAGCGUGGGGAGCAAACAGG